CGACUACUCCCUCCGUCCGGAAAUACUUGUCGUAGAAAUAGACACAAAUAGAUGUAUCUAGAACUAAAAUACAUCUAGAUACAUCCAUUUCUCGGACAAGUAUUUCCGGAGAGAGGGAGUACUUG
rfam:Triticum aestivum genome assembly, contig: Triticum_aestivum_CS42_TGACv1_scaffold_224375_3B